rnacentral:tRNA from 1 species
GUCAGGAUGGCCGAGUGGUCUAAGGCGCCAGACUCAAGGUUGUGCCUUGCCUGUGGGUGUUCUGGUCUCCGCAUGGAGGCGUGGGUUCGAAUCCCACUUCUGACA